AUUGAACGCUGGCGGCAUGCUUUACACAUGCAAGUCGAACGGUAACAGGCCUUCGGGUGCUGACGAGUGGCGAACGGGUGAGUAAUGCAUCGGAACGUACCCAGAGGUGGGGGAUAACGCAGCGAAAGCUGUACUAAUACCGCAUGUGAUCUGAGGAUGAAAGCGGGGGACCGAGCAGCAAUGUUUGGCCUCGCGCCUUUGGAGCGGCCGAUGUCGGAUUAGCUAGUUGGUGGGGUAAAGGCCGACCAAGGCGACGAUCCGUAGCUGGUCUGAGAGGACGACAAGCAAGCGUGGGACUGAGACACGGACCAGACUCCUACGGGAGGCAGCAGUGGGGAAGGUUGGAAAAUGGGCGCAGGCCUGAUCCAGCAAUGCCGCGUGAGGGAAGAAGGCCUGCGGGUUGUAAACCGCUUUUGGCGGGAACGAAACGGUGUCCGCUAAUACCGGGCGCUAAUGACGGUACGUGCAGAAUAAGCACCGGCUAACUACG
rnacentral:rRNA from 1 species